CAGUCGCCGCGGUAAUGCGAGGGGGGCAAGCGUUGUUCGGAAUUAUUGGGCGUAAAGGGCGCGUAGGCGGUUUGGCAAGUUUGGUGUGAAAUCUUCGGGCUCUACUCGAAGUCUGCACGGAAAACUGCCGGGCUUGAGUAUGGGAGAGGUGAGUGGAAUUUCCGGUGUAGCGGUGAAAUGCGUAGAUAUCGGAAGGAACACCUGUGGCGAAAGCGGCUCACUGGACCAUUACUGACGCUGAGGCGCGAAAGCUAGAGGAGCAAACAGGAUUAGAUACCCCAGUAGUCCCUGUCUCUUAUAU
rnacentral:rRNA from 1 species